rnacentral:rRNA from 1 species
AUUGAACGCUUGCGGCAGGCCUAACACAUGCAAGUCGAACGAGUGGCGGACGGGUGAGUAAUGUCUGGGAAUCUGCCCGAUGGAGGGGGAUAACUACUGGAAACGGUAGCUACUACCGCAUACCAUCGGAUGAGCCCAGAUGGGCUUAGCUAGUAGGUGGGGUAAUGGCUCACCUAGGCGACGAUCCCUAGCUGGUCUGAGAGGAUGACCAGCCACACUGGAACUGAGACACGGUCCAGACUCCUACGGGAGGCAGCAGUGGGGAAUAUUGCACAAUGGGCGCAAGCCUGAUGCAGCCAUGCCGCGUGUAUGAAGAAGGCCUUCGGUUUGUAAAGUACUUGCAGCGGGGAGGCGUUACUCGCAGAAGAAGCACCGGCUAACUCCGUGCCAGCAGCCGCGGUAAUUC